UACGUAGGUCCCGAGCGUUAUCCGGAGUUACUGGGCGUAAAGAGUCCGUAGCCGGUGAUAUAAGUCUGCUUUCAAAGACCGAGGCUCAACUUCGGGAAGGGGGUGGAUACUGUAUAACUAGAGAAAGAUAGAGGUUAGUGGAAUUUCCAGUGGAGGGGUGAAAUCCGUUGAUAUUGGAAGGAACGCCGAAAGCGAAAGCAGCUAACUAUGUCUGUUCUGACGGUGAAGGACGAAAGUGUGGGUAGCAAACAGGAUUAGAUACCCUGGUAGUCCACACUGUAAACGAUGUCCGCUAGGUGUUCUGGAGAAAUCUGGAGUGCUGAAAGCUAACGCAUUAAGCGGACCGCCUGGGAAGUAUAGUCGCAAGACCGAAACUCAAAGGGAUAGGCGGGGGAACACACAAGCGGUGGAUUGCCUCGAUUAAUUGGAUAAUAAGCCAAGAAUCUUACCUAGGAUUGACAUCCUUGGAACCUUUCUGAAAGGAAAGGGUGCUCAGCUUGCUGAGAGCCAAGAGACAGGCGCUGCAUGGCCGUCGUCAGCUCGUGCCGCAAGGUGUCCGGUUAAGUCCGGGAACGAGCGCAACCCUUACCCCUAGUUAGAAUGUCUAGGGGGACUGCCGGUGCAAACCGGAGGAAGGAGAGGAUGACGUCAGGUCACUAUGGCCCUUAUACCUAGGGCGUCAGAGGCAAUACAAUGGGUAGUACAAUGAGAAGCGAUAUAGUGAUAUGGAGCGAAUCUCGAAAGCUAUCCUAAGUUCGGAUUGUAGUCUGGAACUCGACUACAUGAAGUUGGAAUCGCUAGUAAUGGUAGAUCAGCCAUGCUACCGUGAAUAUGUCCCUGUUCCU
rnacentral:rRNA from 1 species